rnacentral:rRNA from 1 species
AUGCACGCUGGCGGCGUGCCUAAUCCAUGCCAGUCGAGCGAACAGACGAGGAGCUUGCUCCCCUGACGUUAGCGGCGGACGGGUGAGUAACACGUGGAUAACCUACCUAUAAGACUGGGAUAACUUCGGGAAACCGGAGCUAAUACCGGAUAAUAUAUUGAACCGCAUGGUUCAAUAGUGAAAGACGGUUUUGCUGUCACUUAUAGAUGGAUCCGCGCCGCAUUAGCUAGUUGGUAAGGUAACGGCUUACCAAGGCAACGAUGCGUAGCCGACCUGAGAGGGUGAACGGCCACACUGGAACUGAGACACGGUCCAGACUCCUACGGGAGGCAGCAGUAGGGAAUCUUCCGCAAUGGGCGAAAGCCUGACGGAGCAACGCCGCGUGAGUGAUGAAGGUCUUCGGAUCGUAAAACUCUGUUAUUAGGGAAGAACAAAUGUGUAAGUAACUAUGCACGUCUUGACGGUACCUAAUCAGAAAGCCACGGCUAACUACGUG